UGGGGAAUUUUGGACAAUGGGCGCAAGCCUGAUCCAGCCAUGCCGCGUGCAGGAUGAAGGCCUUCGGGUUGUAAACUGCUUUUGUACGGAACGAAAAGGUGCCUUCUAAUAAAGGGCGCUCAUGGCGGUACCGUAAGAAUAAGCACCGGCUAACUACGUGCCAGCAGCCGCGGUAAUACGUAGGGUGCGAGCGUUAAUCGGAAUUACUGGGCGUAAAGCGUGCGCAGGCGGUUUUGUAAGACAGAUGUGGAAUCCCCGGGCUUAACCUGGGAACUGCGUUUGUGACUGCAAGGCUGGAGUACGGCAGAGGGGGGUGGAAUUCCACGUGUAGCAGUGAAAUGCGUAGAGAUGUGGAGGAACACCGAUGGCGAAGGCAGCCCCCUGGGCCUGUACUGACGCUCAUGCACGAAAGCGUGGGGAGCAAACA
rnacentral:rRNA from 1 species